AUACGGGGGGUGCGAGCGUUGUUCGGAAUCAUUGGGCGUAAAGAGCGUGUAGGCGGCUGGAUAAGUCAGAUGUGAAAGCCCUGGGCUUAACCCAGGAAGUGCAUUUGAAACUGUUCAGCUUGAGUAAGGGAGAGGAAAGUGGAAUUCCUGGUGUAGAGGUGAAAUUCGUAGAUAUCAGGAGGAACACCGGUGGCGAAGGCGACUUUCUGGCCCUAUACUGACGCUGAGACGCGAGAGCGUGGGUAGC
rnacentral:rRNA from 1 species